GCGCCCGUAGCUCAGCUGGAUAGAGUGUUGGAUUCCGAUUCCAAAGGUCACAGGUUCGAAUCCUGUCGGGCGCG
rfam:Martelella sp. AD-3, complete genome.